rnacentral:rRNA from 1 species
UCGAGGAUCUUCGGCAAUGGGCGCAAGCCUGACCGAGCGACGCCGCGUGUGCGAUGAAGGCCUUCGGGUUGUAAAGCACUGUCGAGGGGGAGGAAGCUCCGCAAGGAGUUGACUAAUCCCUGGAGGAAGCACGGGCUAAGUUCGUGCCAGCAGCCGCGGUAAGACGAACCGUGCGAACGUUGUUCGGAUUCACUGGGCUUAAAGGGCGCGUAGGCGGGCUCAAAAGUCCGAGGUGAAAUACUCUCGCUUAACGAGAGAACUGCCCCGGAUACUGUGAGUCUCGAGGAAGGUAGGGGUCUGUGGAACUUCCGGUGGAGCGGUGAAAUGCGUAGAUAUCGGAAGGAACGCCGGUGGCGAAAGCGACGGACUGGACCUUUUCUGACGCUGAGGCGCGAAAGCCAGGGGAGCAAACAGGAUUAGAUACCCCCGUAGUCC